rnacentral:rRNA from 1 species
UGGGGAAUAUUGCGCAAUGGGCGAAAGCCUGACGCAGCGACGCCGCGUGAGGGAUGAAGGUUUUCGGAUCGUAAACCUCUGUCAGAAGGGAAGAAACCGCACUGUGCUAAUCAGCAGUGCCUUGACGGUACAUUCAAAGGAAGCACCGGCUAACUCCGUGCCAGCAGCCGCGGUAAUAGGGAGGGUGCAAGCGUUAAUCGGAAUUACUGGGCGUAAAGCGCACGUAGGCUGCUUUGUAAGUCAGGGGUGAAAUCCCACGGCUCAACCGUGGAACUGCCUUUGAUUCUGCUUAGCUUGAAUCCGGGAGAGGGUAGCGGAAUUCCGGGUGUAGGAGUGAAAUCCGUAGAUAUCUGGAGGAAUAUCAGUGGCGAAGGCGGCCACCUGGUCCGGUAUUGACGCUGAGGUGCGAAAGAGUGGGGAGCAAACAGG